rnacentral:lncRNA from 1 species
GACGAUUCCGCGGAGCCGGGCAGAGGAAUGAUUAACAAAGGCGUCCGAAGAAAUCGUUGUUGGAAGGUGGCCAAAGUGGAAAGAGAGGUUGCUUUGGCCCUGCAAGUAAGAAGAGAGAAGGAAUAGCCUGAAGGAGUAACACUAAAUUUAAAAUGACACUUUUUUACCAACCAGCGAAAGCAGAUGUUCAAAGGGGAUAUUGGCCAGGUGCGGUCGCUCACGCCUUUAAUCCCAGCACUUUGGGGGCA